rnacentral:rRNA from 1 species
AUUUUUAUGGAGAGUUUGAUCCUGGCUCAGGAUGAACGCUGGCGGCGUGCCUAAUACAUGCAAGUCGAGCGAACGGACGAGAAGCUUGCUUCUCUGAUGUUAGCGGCGGACGGGUGAGUAACACGUGGAUAACCUACCUAUAAGACUGGGAUAACUUCGGGAAACCGGAGCUAAUACCGGAUAAUAUUUUGAACCGCAUGGUUCAAAAGUGAAAGACAGUCUUGCUGUCACUUAUAGAUGGAUCCGCGCUGCAUUAGCUAGUUGGUAAGGUAACGGCUUACCAAGGCAACGAUGCAUAGCCGACCUGAGAGGGUGAUCGGCCACACUGGAACUGAGACACGGUCCAGACUCCUACGGGAGGCAGCAGUAGGGAAUCUUCCGCAAUGGGCGAAAGCCUGACGGAGCAACGCCGCGUGAGUGAUGAAGGUCUUCGGAUCGUAAAACUCUGUUAUUAGGGAAGAACAUAUGUGUAAGUAACUGUGCACAUCUUGACGGUACCUAAUCAGAAAGCCACGGCUAACUACGUGCCAGCAGCCGCGGUAAUACGUAGGUGGCAAGCGUUAUCCGGAAUUAUUGGGCGUAAAGCGCGCGUAGGCGGUUUUUUAAGUCUGAUGUGAAAGCCCACGGCUCAACCGUGGAGGGUCAUUGGAAACUGGAAAACUUGAGUGCAGAAGAGGAAAGUGGAAUUCCAUGUGUAGCGGUGAAAUGCGCAGAGAUAUGGAGGAACACCAGUGGCGAAGGCGACUUUCUGGUCUGUAACUGACGCUGAUGUGCGAAAGCGUGGGGAUCAAACAGGAUUAGAUACCCUGGUAGUCCACGCCGUAAACGAUGAGUGCUAAGUGUUAGGGGGUUUCCGCCCCUUAGUGCUGCAGCUAACGCAUUAAGCACUCCGCCUGGGGAGUACGACCGCAAGGUUGAAACUCAAAGGAAUUGACGGGGACCCGCACAAGCGGUGGAGCAUGUGGUUUAAUUCGAAGCAACGCGAAGAACCUUACCAAAUCUUGACAUCCUUUGACAACUCUAGAGAUAGAGCUUUCCCCUUCGGGGGACAAAGUGACAGGUGGUGCAUGGUUGUCGUCAGCUCGUGUCGUGAGAUGUUGGGUUAAGUCCCGCAACGAGCGCAACCCUUAAGCUUAGUUGCCAUCAUUAAGUUGGGCACUCUAAGUUGACUGCCGGUGACAAACCGGAGGAAGGUGGGGAUGACGUCAAAUCAUCAUGCCCCUUAUGAUUUGGGCUACACGUGCUACAAUGGACAAUACAAAGGGCAGCGAAACCGCGAGGUCAAGCAAAUCCCAUAAAGUUGUUCUCAGUUCGGAUUGUAGUCUGCAACUCGACUACAUGAAGCUGGAAUCGCUAGUAAUCGUAGAUCGGCAUGCUACGGUGAAUACGUUCCCGGGUCUUGUACACACCGCCCGUCACACCACGAGAGUUUGUAACACCCGAAGCCGGUGGAGUAACCUUUUAGGAGCUAGCCGUCGAAGGUGGGACAAAUGAUUGGGGUGAAGUCGUAACAAGGUAGCCGUAUCGGAAGGUGCGGCUGGAUCACCUCCUUU